rnacentral:rRNA from 1 species
UACGUAGGGGGCGAGCGUUACCCGGAUUUACUGGGCGUAAAGGGGGCGUAGGUGGCCGUGUAAGUCCGGUGUGAAAAGCCACGGCUCAACCGUGGGACUGCGCUGGAAACUACACGGCUUGAGGACGGUAGAGGGAGACGGAACUGCUGGUGUAGGGGUGAAAUCCGUAGAUAUCAGCAGGAACGCCGGUGGAGAAGUCGGUCUCCUGGGCCUGUACUGACGCUCAUGCACGAAAGCGUGGGGAGCAAACAGG